UUUGGACCCCAAAAUCUGCGAUCUGAUCCCAAAAUCUCAAGCAAAGAUCGAAGGGCUCCAAAAAUCUUCGUUAUGGACCCAAAAAUCUCCAUUACGGACCCAAAAUCUUAUCACGGUCCCAAAAUGUCCAGGAUGGACCCCAAAACAGCAGCAGGACCGCGGGGGCUCUGGGACGGACCCAAAAAUCUCCGUUUUGGACCCAAGACUCCUCGGCAAUCCCAGGGGAUCCGCCACGGACCCAAAAUCUCCAGAACUGAGCCCAAAUCUCCGGCAUGGACCAAGAAAUGGGGGAGCCUGGCCAGCCCCACGGCGCCCUCCGUCUUCCCCGUCACCUCCUGCUGCGGGUCCACCCAUGAGAAGCCCGUCCUGGGCUGCUUGGCCACCGGCUUCAUCCCCGGCCCCGUCACCUUCUCCUGGGCCGGGGCCGGCGCCGCCCUCACCGUCCCCGAGACCGUCGGCACCGGGGUCCACCAGCGCACCGCCUUCCUGCGCCCGUCCCGCGCCUCCCAGGGGGACACCUUCACCUGCAGAGUCAACCACCCGGCCACCGGCGUCACCCUGACCAGGGAGGUGGAAGGUUGCAUCGCCCCACCGAUCCGAAGCCCCCCCGAGGUCCAGGUCCUCCACAGCUCCGUCUGCAGCGCCGCGGGCGAAGACUCCCUGGAGUUCCUCUGCAUCAUCUCCGGCUUCUCUCCGGCCACCGUGGAGGUCGAGUGGCUGGUGGACGGCGUGUCGGGCCUGCUGGUGGGGACGGUGACGCCGCCACGGCGCGACGUCGGGGCCGCCACCUACACGGCCACCAGCCACACCAACGUGUCGCGAGAAGACUGGAAGGAGGGCAAGACCAUCACCUGCCAGGUCAAGCACCCCGCAACCGGCGUCAAGGUGCAGGAGCACAGCCGCUUCUGCCCAGAAUUCUGACCACCUUUGUUGUCCUCCUGACCCCCCUGCUGGCCACGACCAUCGACCGCGAGGUCCUCCAAACGUUCCUCGAGAACCCCCUCCAAAACCUGGUGGGGGUGGACACCCCAGCAGGUCCUUCCCCCCCCUUCCUUGGACCUCGGGACAUCGUUGGCCACCUUCCUGUCGCCCUGGGACCUCUCCGGAACCCGAGGACCGGUGGGGA